rnacentral:rRNA from 1 species
CCUACGGGCGGCAGCAGUGAGGAAUAUUGGUCAAUGGGCGCUAGCCUGAACCAGCCAAGUAGCGUGAAGGAUGACUGCCCUAUGGGUUGUAAACUUCUUUUAUAAGGGAAUAAAGUGAGGCACGUGUGCCUUUUUGUAUGUACCUUAUGAAUAAGGAUCGGCUAACUCCGUGCCAGCAGCCGCGGUAAUACGGAGGAUCCGAGCGUUAUCCGGAUUUAUUGGGUUUAAAGGGAGCGUAGGUGGGUUGUUAAGUCAGUUGUGAAAGUUUGCGGCUCAACCGUAAAAUUGCAAUUGAUACUGGCAGCCUUGAGUACAGUUGAGGUAGGCGGAAUUCGUGGUGUAGCGGUGAAAUGCUUAGAUAUCACGAAGAACUCCGAUUGCGAAGGCAGCUUACUAAACUGCCACUGACGUUGAUGCUCGAAAGUGUGGGUAUCAAACAGGAGUAGAUACCCUUGUAGUC